UAACGUGGCCCCGCCGGCGGUUCCAUCGCUUCAUCCCAAUGGAGCGAUGGAUUAAAAGGGAAGUCCGGUGCGCCCGUGCGCGAGCACGGGCAAUUCCGGCGCUGCCCCGCAGCGGUAAUUGGAAACGACCUCCGCCAUCGCACUGGCCCUCGCGGCCGGGAAGCGGCGGACAGUAGGCCCCGGCGCCCCGUGCGCCGCCCGUCCAUGAGCCCGAAGACCUGCCCCGGCCGGAAGGCGUGC
rfam:Pseudoxanthomonas suwonensis strain J1, complete genome.